CGAUUAUAAGUUAAUUUUUGUUUCAGCUAAAAGCUGAAACAUUGCUGAUCAGCCAUUUUACAGUCUUGUCCAACGUAAAUAAAAGUUAAAUUUCAUGGCCUUUUGUGGGUUGGCCUGAAAAGAGGCUUUCAUUUCUUUCUUCGUUUCUUCUCCAUCUUGGGCCUCAGGCUCCGCUCACUCUGGCCCAGACACCUGAGUCCUCCGCUCCAUGCUCAAAACCACACGCCCGCUACAGGACAAGAGAACCCUAGGACACCGCCACCCCAAACAUGGUACCACCUCCUUCUACUUGGUCACCCUCACUUUUUUUUAAGGCAGCUUCAGAAAGAAAACAGGACAAAAUAAAUGAGGACAAUGGAGAAAAACACGGAUAACAAAUGACCCCAGGGGUGCUAAUAAGCACAUGGGCCCUGAGCACCGCAGCAGCCAAAGAGGAGGANNNNNNNNNNNNNNNNNNNNNNNNNNNNCUCUGCUUAGGACUUCCGCCGGUGCCCUAGUCCAGAUCCCGAGUUUUCCCGUUAUUUGCAACCCCUCACCUCUGGGGUAUUCCCCCAUUAGCACUUCAAUUCCCCAUAAAUCUCACCUAUUUUUCAGGCAAAAGCGGAAAAAUUACUACUUUCUACUGUGAAAUUAAUACCCAAGAACAAACGAAUUUUCAUACAGGUUACAUACAUACCUCCCACCUUUUGUAACACUGUGCUCCAAAGGUACUCAAACCACACCUUUUCAGACUGUGAAAUAUUUUCUGCCAAUUCUAUGAAAAGAACAUAGGUUUUCACUGUCGAAUUUAUUUUACCUAAAGCCUCAACUUAAAAGAUUUUUUAGGAGUUCCCAUCGUGGCUCAGCGGAAACAUGCCUGACUAGUAUCCAUGAGGAUGCAGGUUCGAUCCUGGCCUUGCUCAGGGCUAAGGCUCUGGCACUGCUGUGGCUGUGGCGCAGGCCAGUAGCUAUAGCUCCGCUUUGACCCCUAGUCUGGGAAACUCCACAUGCUGUAGGUGCGGCCCUAAAAAGACCAAAAAAAAGAAAAAAAAAAAAAGAUUUUUUAACUUGCCGAAUAUGUUACAAAAUCAGAUUAUCUCUUUACUGGAGAUGACAUGAGAGGACAGUCUUUUAAGGUAAAGCUGCUGCCAAAGACAACUGUUAUUUGAGUUUUGCAUAUAAGCAUGGACACCUUUCCAAAUACCUGGAUGGUAGGACAAAUGAUAAUUCUUCACAAUGAAGAACAGAGUGGCAAAAAAAAACCAGGCAGGCGCUGGCCGAGCCUGCACAGAUCACACCAAAAACAUCAAUGAGCCAGCGGGUGGGAAGACACACCAAUGAGGCAGGCCUCCCACUGCUGCUUGUUUCUAAGAAGAAAACACUCAGGAUACGCCGUUAGCCCCCCUCUCAAGACACAUAUGCCAGAAAGUUAAACCCAUCCUUCCGCCAGAAACUGCAACCUGAGAGCAACGAGGAAUCUGUGGUUUCUGGAACUAUUCGUGUAUGUGUCUCUACAGAGGAAAACCCUGAUAAAGAAAGGCAAGGGGUUAGAGUGUGUGAGCAAUCUCUGACAUUUAAUAAUUAGACGUUUAUUAUUAAAAUAACAAGUGACCCUUCAGGGCCAACCUCUGGAACUGGAGACCAAGGCGGGUAUAACAGUGUUCUCCAGAUAGAAAUACUGGAUGUUAUUUCCAUAGCAACAUGAUGAACAAUGAGAAUGCCAAUCAUAUAAAGAAAGAAAUUAAAAACAAAGCCCAGAAUAGAAAGUCAGAAGAAAAGCAACAGGGACACCAACAACCACUGCAACCUAUGUCACAGCGAGCCGUGUGCAGUGACCCCGAACGUUUGGUCCCACUUGACAUUUGCAGCCACAAGCUAUCACAGAAUGCCAUUACACGAACCACAGACCUGACUUAACUGUAGUAUUACAGGUCGAAGAAGAGAAAGCUAAUCACCACGAUAAAAGCGCUCAUCUUCUAGAAAAUGAAAUCACAGUUAAAAGAUUUAAAUGGGUCUCUUCGCAAAUUAAAAAAUAAUAAACAGUAAAACCUCUGCUGCUGCAUGCUAGGGAAUCUAUGUGACACACCUGAGCUACACGUAACACAAAUAUCCGUGAGCCAUGCUCGUGAGCAAAUCUUAGCCCUAAUAAAUUGGGUUAGAUCAGCUUUAAUUAAACCUGUUCCCAAAUAAUCCACACACGGGUAAAGACGAGGAACCUAAAAUGAGCCUGGGGAGAGGUGGCUGAUGCUCUCUUGCAACGGAGGCAGGAGCCUCACCCGCAAAGAGAUGGAAAAAAGGGUAGAGGUUUUUUAAGUGUCUCAGGCAAUCAGUUCUCUUUUAAAUUAAAAAAAAAGACAGUUUUUUAGGUGUUUGGAAAAUAGGACACUGUAUUAUCAGGUGUUCUAGUUUAACUGAUUCAUUAGCUCCUACAGGUUUACGAAGGGCCGACCAAGUGUCAGGCGGUGCGGGGCUUGCAGAGGAAGCACACGGGUUGGUAGCAGGUCAGGCCGCCGACCCCAACCCAAACAGCCAAGUCAAGCCCAGGCAAGGACAGUGGCAAAGGGAGGCACGGCCACUAUGCCGGGACACUGGGCGGCCAGAGGAGGUGACAGCAGCUGGCUCUGAUGGGGUCGCGCCUGAC
ensembl:lncRNA